rnacentral:misc_RNA from 1 species
GUGAAUCAUCAAAUUUUUGAACGCAAAUUGCACUCCCUUCGGAGAGUAUGCCUGUUUGAGGGUCAGCAUUAAUAAAAAUCGGCGUGUUGCUCUUUUGUGACGUGCCGGAGCUUGUGUCAACUUAUAACAACACACUUUCAGGGUAUUUGUAAGAGGGUUAAAAUCGAACUUUUUUGUGCAUCUUAGACGCACAUAAAUUUUUUUUUAUUAGUCUAUCUUAAAGCCAAAUCCUCAUUAGA